rnacentral:rRNA from 1 species
CACGUAGGGUGCGAGCGUUGUCCGGAAUUAUUGGGCGUAAAGAGCUCGUAGGCGGUGUGUCGCGUCGGCCGUGAAAACCUGCAGCUUAACUGUGGGCUUGCGGUCGAUACGGGCAUCACUGGAGUUCGGCAGAGGAGACUGGAAUUCCUGGUGUAGCGGUGAAAUGCGCAGAUAUCAGGAGGAACACCUGUGGCGAAGGCGGGUCUCUGGGCCGAUACUGACGCUGAGGAGCGAAAGCGUGGGGAGCGAACAGG